rnacentral:rRNA from 1 species
AGAGUUUGAUCCUGGCUCAGGAUGAACGCUAGCGGGAGGCUUAACACAUGCAAGCCGAGGGGUAUAUAAUUGCUUGCAAUUAUAGAGACCGGCGGAUGGGUGAGUAACGCGUAUGAAACCUGCCCUAUUCAUCAGGAUAGCCCUAGGAAACUGGGAUUAAUACUGAAUAACACUAAUAUCGGCAUCGAUGUUGGUUAAAAGAUUUAUCGGAAUAGGAUGGUCAUGCGUCAGAUUAGUUAGUUGGUAGGGUAACGGCCUACCAAGGCAAUGAUCUGUAGGGGGCCUGAGAGGGUGAUCCCCCACACUGGUACUGAGACACGGACCAGACUCCUACGGGAGGCAGCAGUGAGGAAUAUUGGACAAUGGGUGAGAGCCUGAUCCAGCCAUCCCGCGUGCAGGAAGAAUGCCUUAUGGGUUGUAAACUGCUUUUAUACAGGAAUAAACCACUUUACGUGUAAGGUGUUGAAGGUACUGUAUGAAUAAGCAUCGGCUAACUCCGUGCCAGCAGCCGCGGUAAUACGGAGGAUGCAAGCGUUAUCCGGAUUUAUUGGGUUUAAAGGGUCCGUAGGCGGGCAUAUAAGUCAGAGGUGAAAUCCGACAGCUUAACUGUCGAACUGCCUUUGAAACUGUAUGUCUUGAGUGAGAUUGAAGCAGCUGGAAUGUGUAGUGUAGCGGUGAAAUGCAUAGAUAUUACACAGAACACCGAUAGCGUAGGCAGGUUGCUAAGUCUUUACUGACGCUGAUGGACGAAAGCGUGGGGAGCAAACAGGAUUAGAUACCCUGGUAGUCCACGCCGUAAACGUUGGAUACUGUCUAUUGGAAAUUUUCAGUGGAUAAGCGAAAGUGAUAAGUAUCCCACCUGGGGAGUACGUUCGCAAGAAUGAAACUCAAAUGAAUUGACGG